GGGAGGAAGUGUGAAUGACUGAGUGGCGGACGGGUGAGUAACGCGUGGGCAACCUGCCCCGUACCGGGGGAUAACAGCCGGAAACGGCUGCUAAUACCGCAUAUGCUUUGCGGGCCGCAUGGCCCGCAAAGCAAAACUCCGGUGGUACGGGAUGGGCCCGCGUCUGAUUAGCUGGUUGGCGGGGUAACGGCCCACCAAGGCGACGAUCAGUAGCCGGCCUGAGAGGGCGGCCGGCCACAUUGGGACUGAGACACGGCCCAGACUCCUGCGGGAGGCAGCAGUGGGGAAUAUUGCACAAUGGGGGAAACCCUGAUGCAGCGACGCCGCGUGGGCGAGGAAGUACCUCGGUAUGUAAAGCCCUAUCAGCAGGGAAGAAACAGGACAGUACCUGACUAAGAAGCCCCGGCUAACUACGUGCCAGCAGCCGCGGUAAUACGUAGGGGGCAAGCGUUAUCCGGAUUCACUGGGCGUAAAGGGAGCGCAGGCGGCAUGGCAAGUCUGAUGUGAAAACCCGGGGCCCAACCCCGGGAGUGCAUUGGAAACUGCCAGGCUGGAGUGUCGGAGGGGUAAGCGGAAUUCCUAGUGUAGCGGUGAAAUGCGUAGAUAUUAGGAGGAACACCAGUGGCGAAG
rnacentral:rRNA from 1 species